UCCUCUGGGGGUCACUUUUUCUUGCGCCUAGUGUUGUGUGUUUUGUUUGUAGUGUUUGUGGCGUGCCUGUGUAUGUAUGUGUUUGGUCUGGAGCUGCCCUGCCUGGCAGUUAGUGAUGACAGCUAACGUGGCAGGUCAUGGGUGAGCUAAUACAUUGUCUGGACUGUUUUGGCAAAGACAUCCGGUCUGCCUCUGGGCACGUACUGAAGGGCAGCUGGCACAGUCAUCUCUGUGGUGUGUGGCAGAUGUUGGGGGUGGGAGAGUUGAGCUGCUUGCGAGCAGCUGUGCUUGCAUAGCACUUGAACGGUGUGCUUGAGGAGGUCUGUCGAAUCUUGAAAGCUUACAGAUAUGGGGUUUUGAAUUUUUUAUUUUUAUUUCUAUCCUGUCCCCAGUAGAGCGUAAACCUUUGGAGGAACCUGUCACAAGAAAGAGCUCCUUCUUGAACUGUUCAGCACUCCGUAGGCAGCUCGGUGACUGACUUGAUCUCCUUCUGAGGUGCUGAGGCUGAAAGGCAGUGUGCAGUCCAGGACGUAAUGACCUGAGGUGCCUCUGGAGUGACUGGUGGAGUGGAUGGUACUGUCUGCGCUGUUGGAGCUUGGACUCAGGGAGGAACACGUGAGCACAAUCGUAUAUUGCAUCAGUAGUAGUCAGCAUUCUGGAGGAGGUGAUUGGCUUCAGGUUCCAGGUGGGACCUAAUGGUAACUGAGUUGAAGGUAUGCCAUGAGAGAGAUCCUUCUGCCUGGGCUGCACUUUUGGGUAAGUGCUUUGUUUUUCCUUCAGUUGUUUGGAGGGUUCUUUAGGUGGGUCAGAGUCUAUGGACUGAUGCGUUUUGAUGUAGAAACUGGUACUCGGUACUCCUAUCUUUUUGAGGUGAAAACUGGUAGGAUCUGUCACUGUAAAGCAAUCUAGUAGUAGGUGCCUGUAUUGCACACAACUCUUCUUCAGGUGAGUAGUUGUUAUAGCAGUUUUACGGAUAGUAUGGUGAUGUUACUUUGUGUGUUUUUUGGUUCUGGGUCCCUUCUGAUUUUUGCAGAAUUACGGGGCUUUCUGUGAGCCUUUGCAUCUAUGUCAAAUCUUAUCAAAGUCAUAACCUUGCUGUCAAAGUGAUGGAGCAGGGUUUAGGAGAAAUGUAUGAUGGAGGCUCCUGGUGUGAGCAUGUGUUUGAAAAUGGCAGCAGUGGGCAUGAAAGGGGUAGUCUGUUUCAAGUUUAGGGACAGCUUGUUAUAUUUGUGGAGCUUUUGUCUGUGUGAUUUCUGUCAGUUGAGUCUUUAGACCUUGCAGCCUUCUAGUCUUGAUGUCCUUGAAUUUACAUAUUAGAAGAACGUUUAUGAGGGGUUUCCAGGUAGUUGUUUUUGGGAAACAGUGGGGUAAUGUCUCUUGACCGCAUGAGUGCAGUAGUGCCUAGAGAGUGAGCAGGCUCACCUUCUUCUUCUCUGCAGAAUAAGUCCGCCCGGGCCCAUUUCGGCGCGGC